rnacentral:rRNA from 1 species
GUUGCAGUUAAAAAGCUCGUAGUUGGAUUUCGGAGUGGGCCAGUUGGUCCGCCGCAAGGUGUGUUACUGACUGGUUUGCUCUUCUUCGCAAAGACUGCGUGUGCUCUUGAGUGAGUGUGCGUAGGAUUUACGACGUUUACUUUGAAAAAAUUAGAGUGUUCAAAGCAGGCUAUUGCUUGAAUACAUGAGCAUGGAAUAAUGGAAUAGGACUUUGGUCCCAUUUUGUUGGUUUCUAGGGCCGAAGUAAUGAUUAAGAGGGACAAUUGGGGGCAUCCGUAUUUCGUUGUCAGAGGUGAAAUUCUUGGAUUUACGAAAGACGAACAACUGCGAAAGCACUUGCCAAGAGUGUUUUCAUUAAUCAAGAACGAAAGUUAGAGGAUCGAAGACGAUCAGAUACCGUCCUAGUUCUAACCAUAAACGAUGUCGACUAGGGAUCAGCGGGCGUUAUCGUACGACCCGUUGGCACCUUACGGGAAACCAAAGUUUUUGGAUUCCGGGGGAAGUAUGGUUGCAAAGCUGAAACUUAAAGGAAUUGACGGAAGGGCACCACCAGGAGUGGAGCCUGUGGCUCAAUUUGACUCAACACGGGAAAACUUACCAGGUCCAGACAUAGUAAGGAUUGACAGACUGAAGGUCUUUCUUGAU